UACGUAGGGAGCGAGCGUUGUCCGGAUUCAUUGGGCGUAAAGAGCUCGUAGGCGGCUUGGUAAGUCGGAUGUGAAACCUCCAGGCCACCACGAGGCGCCAUCCGAUACUGCUAUGGCUAGAGUCCGGUAGGGGCCACGGAAUUCCUGGUGUAGCGGUGAAAUGCGCAGAUAUCAGGAGGAACACCGACGGCGCAGGCAGCGUCCUGGCCGCUAGCUGACACUGAGGCACGAAAGCUGGGGGAGCAAACAGG
rnacentral:rRNA from 1 species